CUACGGGAAGGCAGCAGUAGGGAAUCUUCCACAAUGGACGCAAGUCUGAUGGAGCAACGCCGCGUGAGUGAAGAAGGUUUUCGGAUCGUAAAGCUCUGUUGUUGGUGAAGAAGGAUAGUGAGAGUAACUGGUCUUGACGGUAAUCAACCAGAAAGUCACGGCUAACUACGUGCCAGCAGCCGCGGUAAUACGUAGGUGGCAAGCGUUGUCCGGAUUUAUUGGGCGUAAAGCGAGCGCAGGCGGAAUGAUAAGUCUGAUGUGAAAGCCCCCGGCUCAACCGGGGAACUGCAUCGGAAACUGUCAUUCUUGAGUGCAGAAGAGGAGAGUGGAAUUCCAUGUGUAGCGGUGGAAUGCGUAGAUAUAUGGAGGAACACCAGUGGCGAAGGCGGCUCUCUGGUCUGUAACUGACGCUGAGGCUCGAAAGCGUGGGGAGCAAACAGGAUUAGAUACCCUGGUAGU
rnacentral:rRNA from 1 species